rnacentral:rRNA from 1 species
GACGAACGCUGGCGGCGUGCUUAACACAUGCAAGUCGAACGGAAAGGCCCUGCUUUUGUGGGGUGCUCGAGUGGCGAACGGGUGAGUAACACGUGAGUAACCUGCCCUUGACUUUGGGAUAACUUCAGGAAACUGGGGCUAAUACCGGAUAGGAGCUCCUGCUGCAUGGUGGGGGUUGGAAAGUUUCGGCGGUUGGGGAUGGACUCGCGGCUUAUCAGCUUGUUGGUGGGGUAGUGGCUUACCAAGGCUUUGACGGGUAGCCGGCCUGAGAGGGUGACCGGCAACAUUGGGACUGCGAUACGGCCCAGACUCCUACGGGAGGCAGCAGUGGGGAAUAUUGCACAAUGGGCGGAAGCCUGAUGCAGCCACGCCGCGUGCGGGAUGACGGCCUUCGGGUUGUAAACCGCUUUCGCCUGUGACGAAGCGUGAGUGACGGUAAUGGGUAAAGAAGCACCGGCUAACUACGUG